AUACAUGCAAGUCGAACGGUAACAGGUUCUAAAGCAAUUUAGAAUGCUGACGAGUGGCAAACGGGUGAGUAAUACAUAUGAACUUUCUCUAAGAAGAGGAUAGCCAGUCGAAAGAUUGGGUAAUACUCUAUAUGGCCGAAAGGUUAAAGUUUAAUACGCUUAGAGUGAGGCAUAUGCCCCAUCAGCUAGUUGGUAAGGUAAUGGCUUACCAAGGCUAAGACGGGUAGCUGGACUGAGAGGUUGAUCAGCCACACUGGGACUGCGACACGGCCCAGACAUCUACGGAUGGCAGCAGUAGGGAAUUUUCCGCAAUGGGCGAAAGCCUGACGGAGCCAUGCCGCGUGCAGGAUGACGGCCCUAUGGGUUGUAAACUGCUGUGGUAGCCUACCAAAAAAAUGAGGAGGCUAUUAGAAAGAGGUUGCUAACUCUGUGCCAGCAGCAGCGGUAAUACAGAGACCUCGAGCGUUAUCCGGUAUCACUGGGCGUAAAGCGUACCGAUCGGUUGUUUAGUGUGUCUAAAGUGAAAGACCGAAGCCUAACUUCGUGUUUGCUUUAGAAACUACUAAACUUGAAGGGCAAAGAGGUGGUUGGAACUCUGCAAGUAGGGGUGAAAUCCGUUGAUAUGCAGGGGAACACCAAAAGCGAAGGCAGACCACUAGGUGCCUCUUGACACUGCUAGGACGAAAGCGUGGGGAGAGAACGGGAUUAGAUACCCCGGUAUUCCACGCCCUAAACGAUGAGUGCUAGUUUCCGGGGAAAGUCAAUCUUCCUCGGAGACAAAGCUAACGCAUUAAGCACUCCGNCUGUAGAGUACGAGCGCAAGCUUAAA
rnacentral:rRNA from 1 species